UGUCUUUUUCCGCUUACUGGCGUUUCAUUUCCACAACGACAGGAAAGGGAAAAAGGCGUA
rnacentral:pre_miRNA from 1 species